rnacentral:tRNA from 4 species
GCGGGCAUGGUUCAGUGGUAGAACGUGGCCUUCCCAAGGCUAAAACAGGGUUUCGAUUACCCUUGCCCGCA